rnacentral:rRNA from 1 species
AACGAACGCUGGCGGUAGGCUUAACACAUGCAAGUCGAGCGCCCCGCAAGGGGAGCGGCAGACGGGUGAGUAACGCGUGGGAAUCUACCCAUCCCUACGGAACAACUCCGGGAAACUGGAGCUAAUACCGUAUACGCCCUUCGGGGGAAAGAUUUAUCGGGGAUGGAUGAGCCCGAGUUGGAUUAGCUCGUUGGUGGGGUAAUGGCCUACCAAGGCGACGAUCCAUAGCUGGUCUGAGAGGAUGAUCAGCCACACUGGGACUGAGACACGGCCCAGACUCCUACGGGAGGCAGCAGUGGGGAAUAUUGGACAAUGGGCGCAAGCCUGAUCCAGCCAUGCCGCGUGAGUGAUGAAGGCCCUAGGGUUGUAAAGCUCUUUCACCGACGAAGAUAAUGACGGUAGUCGGAGAAGAAGCCCCGGCUAACUUCGUGCCAGCCGCCGCGGUAACAC